rnacentral:rRNA from 1 species
CGAUUAGAGUUUGAUUCUGGCUCAGGAUGAACGCUGGCGGCGUGCUCAACACAUGCAAGUCGAACGGACUUUAUGGGAUUUAUCUUAUAGAGUUAGUGGCGGACGGGUGAGUAACACGUGAGCAACCUACCUUUUGCAGGGGAAUAACACUGGGAAACCAAUGCUAAUACCGCAUGUUGUACUUGUGAGGCAUCUUACGUGUAUGAAAGGAGCAAUCCGGCAGAAGAUGGGCUCGCGUCCGAUUAGGCAGUUGGUGGGGUAACGGCUCACCAAACCGAGGAUCGGUAGCCGGACUGAGAGGUUGAACGGCCACAUUGGGACUGAGACACGGCCCAGACUCCUACGGGAGGCAGCAGUGGGGAAUUUUGGGCAAUGGGGGGAACCCUGACCCAGCGACGCCGCGUGAAGGAAGAAGGCCUUCGGGUUGUAAACUUCUUUGAGGAGGGACGAAGAUGACGGUACCUCCAGAACAAGCCACGGCUAACUACGUGCCAGCAGCCGCGGUAAUACGUAGGUGGCGAGCGUUAUCCGGAAUUACUGGGUGUAAAGGGCGCGCAGGCGGCAUUAAAAGUCAGGUGUGAAAGCCCAAGGCUUAACUUUGGACGGUCAUCUGAAACUUUAGUGCUUGAGUGUCAGAGGGGAAAGUGGAAUUCCUAGUGGAGCGGUAAAAUGCGCAGAGAUUAGGAGGAACACCGGUGGCGAAGGCGACUUUCUGGCUGACAACUGACGC